CAUUAUUCUUGUGCUGCAGGAGCCGUCUCCUUUCAGGAUUUCAGUCACAUCUUCCUGCUUUGUCCAGAACACAUUGACCAAGCUCCUGAAAGAUCGAAGGAAGAUGCAAACUGUGCAGUGUGCGACAGCCCGGGAGACCUCUUAGAUCAGUUCUUUUGUAUUACUUGUGGUCAGCACUAUCAUGGAAUGUGCCUGGAUAUAGCGGUUACUCCAUUAAAACGUGCAGGUUGGCAAUGUCCUGAGUGCAAAGUGUGCCAUAACUGCAAACAGUCGGGAGAAGAUAGCAAGAUGCUAGUGUGUGACACGUGUGACAAAGGGUAUCAUACUUUUUGUCUUCAACGAAUUAUGAAAUCUGUACCAACCAAUGGCUGGAAAUGCAAAUAUCAUCCCAACAUACAGUGAAUACCGAAUUGGAAAAACAGAUUUCUAAUGAGGUUGAUAGUGAAGAAAUGAAA